rnacentral:rRNA from 1 species
GACGAACGCUGGCGGCGUGCUUAACACAUGCAAGUCGAGCGGUAAGGCCCUUCGGGGUACACGAGCGGCGAACGGGUGAGUAACACGUGGGUGACCUGCCCUUAGCUCUGGGAGUAAGACCUGGGAAACGUGGGUCUAAUACCGGGAUAUGACUCCAUGACGCAUGUUGUGGGGUGGAAAGCCUUGUGCGGCUAGGGAUGGGCCCGCGGCCUAUCAGCUUGUUGGUGGGGUGAUGGCCUACCAAGGC